AGAGUUUGAUCCUGGCUCAGAUUGAACGCUGGCGGCAUGCCUUACACAUGCAAGUCGAACGGCAGCACGGGGGCAACCCUGGUGGCGAGUGGCGAACGGGUGAGUAAUACAUCGGAACGUGUCCUGUAGUGGGGGAUAGCCCGGCGAAAGCCGGAUUAAUACCGCAUACGAUCUGCGGAUGAAAGCGGGGGAUCUUCGGACCUCGCGCUGCAGGGGCGGCCGAUGGCAGAUUAGCUAGUUGGUGGGGUAAAGGCCUACCAAGGCGACGAUCUGUAGCUGGUCUGAGAGGACGACCAGCCACACUGGGACUGAGACACGGCCCAGACUCCUACGGGAGGCAGCAGUGGGGAAUUUUGGACAAUGGGCGAAAGCCUGAUCCAGCAAUGCCGCGUGUGUGAAGAAGGCCUUCGGGUUGUAAAGCACUUUUGUCCGGAAAGAAAACCUCUUGGUUAAUACCUGAGGGGGAUGACGGUACCGGAAGAAUAAGCACCGGCUAACUACGUGCCAGCAGCCGCGGUAAUACGUAGGGUGCAAGCGUUAAUCGGAAUUACUGGGCGUAAAGCGUGCGCAGGCGGUUCGCUAAGACAGAUGUGAAAUCCCCGGGCUUAACCUGGGAACUGCAUUUGUGACUGGCGGGCUAGAGUAUGGCAGAGGGGGGUAGAAUUCCACGUGUAGCAGUGAAAUGCGUAGAGAUGUGGAGGAAUACCGAUGGCGAAGGCAGCCCCCUGGGCCAAUACUGACGCUCAUGCACGAAAGCGUGGGGAGCAAACAGGAUUAGAUACCCUGGUAGUCCACGCCCUAACGAUGUCAACUAGUUGUCGGGUCUUCAUUGACUUGGUAACGUAGCUAACGCGUGAAGUUGACCGCCUGGGGAUACGGCGCAAAAUAAAACUCAAGGAUUGACGGGAA
rnacentral:rRNA from 1 species